AGUCUUAGUGCAAUUUUAAGCUA
rnacentral:miRNA from 1 species